AGUCUUGUGCUUUAAUAAAGAAGUGUUACUAGAGAACUGUCUCCAGCAUGUUAUAUCAGGAGAGCUGAAAUCACAAACCCCACGUCACAACAGUUUUAACCACCCUGAAUGAUUUUAGUAUCAUCAGCAAACUUGACCACCUCGCUGCUCAGCCCUAACUCUAGAUUGUGAAGUGAAAAAGCACAGGCCCCAACACAGAUUGGGGGACUUUCUACAUCCUGCCACUGAGAGAACUGUCUGUUUAUUCCUACUCUCUCCUUCCUGUUAUGUAACUAGCUCCUGGUUGAAAAGAGAACCUCUCCUCUUAUUCCAUUACGGCUAAGCUUGCUCAGCAGUCAAAUGUCAAAAACAUUUGAAAAUCAAAGUACGCUAUGCUAACUCAAGUCCAUUGAUUUCCACUGGUCUACUCUGACUAAUGUUGUAAAUCAUCCAUAAUACAAUAUUUAUAUAGCCACGACAUUAUAGGCUUUUACAAUUCUGGUGUGUUACUUUAGAAAUAGGUAGCAUCAGGGAAAGGUAGCGUCACCACGAGACCAGAUGCUGACUCUUCAAAAUCUUGGUUCAUGCUGGGCAGCAGGGGAGGGAAACCUAAAGGCAAUUCAUAUGAUGCUGGACAUGAAUUUCCAUCAGUCCCAGCUAUCAUGACCAAUGAUUAGGGAUAAUUGGCGUUGUAACAUACAGUUGUACCUUGGAUCACAAACGCCUUGGCUCCCGAACAAAUCUGCUCCCAAAUGAUUGAAACCUGAAAGUGGGUGCUCCAGUUUUUGAACAAUUUUCAGAAGCCAAACAUCCAGUGCAGUUUCCACAGCUUCCAAUUGGAUGCAGGAUGCUCCUGCAGCCAAUCGGAAGCCGUGCCUUGGUUUUCGAAUGGUUCUGGGUGUCGAACGGACUCCCGGAACGCAUUCUAUUCGAGAACCAAGGUACGACUGUACAGUGGUACCUCAGGUUAAGUACUUAAUUCAUUCCGGAGGUCCAUUCUUAACCUGAAACUGUUCUUAACCUGAAGCACCACUUUAGCUAAUGGGGCCUCCUGCUGCUGCCGCGCUGCCAGAGCACGAUUUCUGUUCUCAUCCUGAAGCAAAGUUCUUAACCCGAGGUAAUAUUUCUGGGUUAGCAGAGUCUGUAACCUGAAGCGUAUGUAACCUGAAGUGUAUGUAACCCGAGGUACCACUGUAUUUAAACAGGGCUACAAAAGGAUCUUAGCGUGUAUAUCUGCCUGUUAACAUUUACUCUACCUCAGCAUUGGGGUUCAGCAUUUGGAGAAAGCUAGAGAGUUCCAGAAAGGCAUCUACUUCUGCUUCAUUGACUAUGCAAAAGCCUUUGACUGUGUCAACCACAGCAAACUAUGGCAAGUUCUUAAAGAAAUGGGAGUGCCUGAUCACCUCAUCUGUCUCCUGAGAAAUCUCUAUGUGGGACAAGAAGCUACAGUUAGAACUGGAUAUGGAACAACUGAUUGGUUCAAAAUUGGGAAAGGAGUACGGCAAGGCUGUAUAUUGUCUCCCUGCUUAUUUAACUUAUAUGCAGAAUUCAUCAUGCUACAGGCUGGGCUGGAUGAAUCCUUAGCCAGAAUUAAGAUUGCCGGAAGAAAUAUCAACAACCUCAGAUAUGCAGAUGACACAACCUUGAUGGCAGAAAGUGAGGAGGAAUUAAAUAACCUUUUAUUGAGGGAGAAAGAGGAGAGUGCAAAAUAUGGUCUGAAGCUCAACAUC